AGAGUUUGAUCAUGGCUCAGGAUGAACGCUAGCUACAGGCUUAACACAUGCAAGUCGGAGGGGAAACGACAUCGAAAGCUUGCUUUUGAUGGGCGUCGACCGGCGCACGGGUGAGUAACGCGUAUCCAACCUGCCCAUCACUUGGGGAUAACCUUGCGAAAGUAAGACUAAUACCCAAUGAUAUCCCUAGAAGGCAUCUGAAAGAGAUUAAAGAUUUAUCGGUGAUGGAUGGGGAUGCGUCUGAUUAGCUUGUUGGCGGGGUAACGGCCACCAAAGCAACGAUCAGUAGGGGUCUGAGAGGAAGGUCCCCACAUUGGAACUGAGACACGGUCCAAACGUCCUACGGGAGGCA
rnacentral:rRNA from 1 species